rnacentral:rRNA from 1 species
AACGUAGGAGGCAAGCGUUAUCCGGAGUUACUGGGCGUAAAGAUUGCGUAGGCGGAUCUGUAAGUGGGUGGUGAAAGCGCCCGGCUAAACCGGGCGAGGUCCAAUCAGACUGCAGGUCUAGAGGCGGAUAGAGGGGUGCGGAAUCCCGGGUGUAGCGGUGAAAUGUGUAGAGAUCCGGAGGAACACCAGUGGUGCAGACGGCGCCCUGGGUCCGAACUGACGCUGAAGCACGAAAGCGUGGGGAGCGAACGGG